GCAACCCAGGUCAGGCAGGAUCACCCGUUGAGUUUAAGCAUAUCAAUAAGCGGAGAAAAAGAAACUUAUAAGGAUUCCCCUAGUAACGGCGAGCAAACCGAGAAUAGCCUAACUUGAGAAUUGGGCAGCCACGCUGUUCGAAUUAUAGUCUGGAAAAGCAUCCUCAACUGUGGAUCGGAGUCGAGUCCCCUGGAAUGGCGCUCCAUAGAGGGUGAGAGCCCCGUUGCUCUCGAACCCUGUCGCACCAUGAGGCACUGUCGGCGAGUUGGGUUGUUUGGGAAUGCAGCCUUAAUUGGGCGGUAAAUUCCAUUUAAGGCUAAAUACAGGCGAGAGACCGGUAGCGAACAAGUACCACGAGGUAAAGAUGAAAAGGACUUUGAAAAGAGAGUCAAAGAGUACUUGAAAUUGUCAGGAGGGAAGCGAAUGGGGAUCGACGAUGCAUCCCGUUCGGAUGUGGAUCGGCAAGAGUCGAUCUGCCGAUCGACUUAGGACGUGGACCAGCACAGAUCGGGUGGUCGAUAUGCUCAUUGUAUAUGCUCAUGUCAUGCCGAUCCAGUGGACCAGCAUAGAUCCAGAUCGAUAUGCUCGUGCGUGCCUCGGCAACUGAGCACUCCUGGUGCUUGCCUGUGGGCUCCCCAUUCGACCCGUCUUGAAACAUGAACUAAAAAGUCUUACAUGUGCGCAAGUGAACGGGCGAUUAAACUUGUAAGGUGCAAGGAAGCUGACCGGCGCGAUCCUCCCGAGGGGUGCACCAUCGACCGACCUUGAUCUUUUGAGAAGGGUUCUAGUGAGCGUACCUGUCGGGACCCGAAAGAUGGUGAACUAUGCCUGAGCCGGACGAAGCCUGAGAAAAAUCUGAUGGAGGCCCGCAAUUAUACUGGCGUGCAAAUCGUUCGUCUGACUUGGGUAUAGGGGCGAAAGAAUAAUCAAACCGUCUAGUAGAUUGUUCCCUUCGAAGUUUUCCUUAGGAUAGCUGGAGCUCUAGUGCGAGUUCUAUCGGGUAAAGCCACUGACUAAAGGUAUCGGGGGUGCAAUGCCCUCGACCUAUUCUCAAACUUUAAAUAUGUAGGACAGUGAAGCUGCUCCAUUGAGCCACGCCAAAGAAUCGUGAGCUCCAAGUGGGCCAUUUUUGUUAAGCAGAACUAACAAUGCGGGAUGAACCAAAAACUGGGUUAUGGUGCCUAACUGCGCACUAACCUAGAUCCCACAAAAGGUGUUGGUCGAUUAAGACAGCAAGAUGGUGGUCAUGGAAGUCAAAAUCCACUAAGAAGUGUGUAACAACUCACCUGCUGAAUCAACUAACCCCGAAAAUAGAUGUGCUGAAGUGCGCGACCUAUACCCGGCCAUCGGGGCAAGGGCCAUGCCCCAUUGAGUAGGAGGGCCCAGGUAGAGCGGUCAUCGGUGCAAAUCUUAGUGGCCGAAAAGGGGAAAGGUUCCAUGUGAACGACACUUGAACAUGGGUUAGUCGAUUCUAAGGGUCGGGAGAAGCCUAACAGACAGCGCGUGCUCCGAAUGAGAAUCGGGUUAAAAUUCCGAAACUGGGAUGCGCGGUUGACGACAAUGUUAUGGAGUCUUGAUACAUCGGCGGGGGCCACGGGAAGAGUUAUCUUUACUAUUUAACAGCCCGCCCACUCUGGAAACGGUUCAGCUAGAGGUAGGGUCCAGCUACUGGAAGAGCACCGCACGUCGGGUGGUGUCCGGUGUGUCCCCGACGGCCCCUAUAAAUCUAGAGGAUCGAGUACAGUCCUCGCUCGGUCGUACUCAUAACCGCAUUAGGUCUCCAAGGUGAACAACCUCUGGUCGAUGGAACAAUGUAGGCAAGGGAAGUCGACAAAAUGGAUCCGUAACCUCGGGAAAAGGAUUGGCUCUGAGGGCUGGGCAUGGGGGUCCCAGUCCCAAACCCAUUGGCUGUCGGUGAACUGCUCGAGCUGCUUGCGCGGCAAGAGCGAGUCAUCUCUUGUUGGCCAGGGGACGGACUGGGAAUCGCUCCCUCGGGGGCCUUACCCGAGCAUCGAACAGUCGACUCAGAACUGGUACGGACAAGGGGAAUCUGACUAUUUAAUUAAAAUAAAGCAUUGCGAUGGUCCCUGCGGAUGCUCACGCAAUGUGAUUUCUGCCCAGUGCUCUGAAUGUCAAAGUGGAAAAUUCAACCAAGCGUGGGUAAAUGGCGAGAGUAACUAUGACUCUCUUAAGGUAGCCAAAUGCCUCAUCAUCUAAUUAGUGACACGCAUGAUGGAUUAAUGAGAUUGCCACUAUCCCUGUCUACUAUCCAGCGAAACCACAGCCAAGGGAAUGGGCCUGGCAGAAUCAGCGAGAAAAGAAGACCCUAUUGAGCUUGACUCUAGUCCGACUUUGUGAAAUGACAUGAGAGGUGUAGGAUAAGUGGAAGCCAAAAGGCAAAACUGAAAUAUCACUACUUUUAAUGUUAUUUUACUUAUUUCGUGAAUCAAAGGCGGGGCAUCGCCCCUCUUUUUGGACCCAAGGCUCGUCCCAGUGGGCUAAUCUGGGCGGAAGACAUUAUCAGGUGGGGAAUUUAGCUAGGGCGGCACAUCUGUUAAAGAUAACGUAAGUGUCCUAAGAUGAGCUCAACGAGAACAAAAAUCUCAUGUGGAAUAGAAGAGUAAAAGCUCGUUUGAUUUUGAUUUCCAGUACGAAAUCAAAUCGUGAAAGCGUGGCCAAAUGAUCCUUUACACCUUCAGAAUUUGAAGCUAGAGGUGUCAAAAAAGUUACCAUAGGGAUAACUGGCUUGUGGCAGCCAAGCGUUCAUAGCGACGUUGCUUUUUGAUCCUUCGAUGUCGGCUCUUCCUAUCAUUCUGAAGCAGAAUUCACCAAGUGUUGGAUUGUUCACCCACCAAUAGAGAACGUGAGCUAGGUUUAGACCGUCAUGAGACAGGUUAGUUUUACUCUACUGGUGAUAGUGUCGCAAUACUAAUUCAACCUAGUACGAGAGGAACCAUUGAUUCGAACAAUUGGUUAUCGCGCUUGGUUGAAAAGCCAGUGGCGCUGAGCUACCGCGCGCUGGAUUAUGACUGAAUGCCUCUAAGUCAGAAUCCAUGCUAGACGCGAUGCAUGCACACGCCGUCCGCUCCCCGACCCACAGUAGGGGCCCCCGUGCCCCUAAGGGCACGUGUUAUUUGCCAAGCCCCCAUGGCGGACUAGCCAUGUGGGCCGCCUCGAAGUACAAUUCCAAUCGAGCAGCGGUAGAAUCCUUUGCAGACGACUUAAAUACACGACGGGGUAUUGUAAGUGGCAGAGUGGCCUUACUGCCACGAUC
rnacentral:rRNA from 1 species